AGCGAACGCUGGCGGCAGGCUUAACACAUGCAAGUCGAACGGGCGUAGCAAUACGUCAGUGGCAGACGGGUGAGUAACGCGUGGGAACGUACCUUUUGGUUCGGAACAACCCAGGGAAACUUGGGCUAAUACCGGAUAAGCCCUUACGGGGAAAGAUUUAUCGCCGAAAGAUCGGCCCGCGUCUGAUUAGCUAGUUGGUGUGGUAACGGCGCACCAAGGCGACGAUCAGUAGCUGGUCUGAGAGGAUGAUCAGCCACAUUGGGACUGAGACACGGCCCAAACUCCUACGGGAGGCAGCAGUGGGGAAUAUUGGACAAUGGGCGCAAGCCUGAUCCAGCCAUGCCGCGUGAGUGAUGAAGGCCUU
rnacentral:rRNA from 1 species